rnacentral:rRNA from 1 species
UUGGCGGACGGGUGAGUAACGCGUGGGGAACCUGCCCUGUACAGGGGGAUAACACUUAGAAAUAGGUGCUAAUACCGCAUAAGCGCACAGUAUCGCAUGAAGCGGUGUGAAAAACUCUGGUGGUAUACGAUGGUUCCGCGUCUGAUUAGCUAGUUGGUGGGGUAAUGGCCUACCAAGGCAACGAUCAGUAGCCGGCCUGAGAGGGUGAACGGCCACAUUGGGACUGAGACACGGCCCAAACUCCUACGGGAGGCAGCAG